rnacentral:tRNA from 1 species
GGAUCUGUGGCGAAAUGGUAUCGCGCUUGACUACGAAUCAAGAGAUUGUCGGUUCGAAUCCGGCCAGAUUCA